rnacentral:rRNA from 1 species
AUUGAACGCUGGCGGCAUGCUUUACACAUGCAAGUCGAACGGCAGCACGGGGAGCUUGCUCCUGGGUGGCGAGUGGCGAACGGGUGAGUAAUGUAUCGGAACGUGCCUGGUAGUGGGGGAUAACUACUCGAAAGAGUGGCUAAUACCGCAUGAGAUCUUUGGAUGAAAGCGGGGGACCUUCGGGCCUCGUGCUACUGGAGCGGCCGAUAUCAGAUUAGGUUGUUGGUGGGGUAAAGGCCUACCAAGCCUGCGAUCUGUAGCUGGUCUGAGAGGACGACCAGCCACACUGGGACUGAGACACGGCCCAGACUCCUACGGGAGGCAGCAGUGGGGAAUUUUGGACAAUGGGCGCAAGCCUGAUCCAGCAAUGCCGCGUGCAGGACGAAGGCCUUCGGGUUGUAAACUGCUUUUGUACAGAACGAAAAGUCUCUGGCUAAUAUCUAGAGAUCAUGACGGUACUGUAAGAAUAAGCACCGGCUAACUACGUG